rnacentral:rRNA from 1 species
UACGUAGGUGGCAAGCGUUGUCCGGAUUUAUUGGGUUUUAAGGGUGCGUAGGCGGCCCUGUAAGUCAGUGCUGAAAUACCCCGGCUUAACCGGGGGGGUGGCAUUGAUACUGCAGGGCUUGAGUACAGAUGAGGUAGGCGGAAUUGACGGUGUAGCGGUGAAAUGCAUAGAUAUCGUCAAGAACACCGAUAGCGAAGGCAGCUUACUGGGCUGUAACUGACGCUGAUGCACGAAAGUGUGGGGAUCAAACAGG